rnacentral:rRNA from 1 species
UAUUAGAUUACUAUAAAUUUAAUUCUAGUUAUUAAAAUAAAUAUUACUUUAAUUUUACAUGUAUAUUUUGGUAAGAUUUUAUAUUCUCUAAAAGGGAAUUUUAUGAUUAAUCGCAGUUUUUAAUAUUAUUAAUUUAAAUAAUUUUAGAAUUAAUUAUUAGUUAUAUGAUUAGCUAAAAGUGUGCCAGCAGCUGCGGUUAUACACUUAAUCAAGUUUAUUUUUUUCUGAUUACAAUUACUAUAUUUUGGAUGUUUAUAAUUUAUUUCUAGGGUGAAAUCUGAAAUUAUUUUAUAUUCUUGGUAAGGAUUUUGUGAAAUUUUUAUAUAAACUAGGAUUAGAUACCCUAUUAUUUUAAAUGUAAAUUUAAUUAGUAUUAAUAGUUAUGAUCUUUAAAUUAAAAGAAUUUGACGGUAAUUUAAUCUGUUCAGAGGAGCUUGUAUUUUAAUUGAUAAUCCACGAUAGAUCUUACCUAAAAUAUUAGUUUGUAUAUCUCUGUCUUAAGAAUGUUUUAUUAGAAUAUUAUCUUCGAGUAUGUUAUUUAAAAUUUAUGUCAGGUCAAGGUGCAGCUUAUUUAGGUUUAUAUGAGCUACAUUAAUUUUAAUUAUAGUUAAAUAAUUGAAUAGAUUGUUUAUAAAAUGGAUUUGAUUGUAAUAUAUAUUAUCUAUUAUUUAUGAUAAUUGCUCUGGAUUAAGUACAUAUCGCCCGUCGCUCUUAUAUAAAAGAUAAGAUAAGUCGUAACAAAGUAGACCUAUCGGAAGAUGGGUCUGGAAUUAAUU